rnacentral:rRNA from 1 species
UACAGAGGGUGCAAGCGUUGUUCGAAUUAUUGGGCGUAAAGGGCGCGUAGGCGGCGUUGUUCAAGUCAGGCGUGAAAGCCCCGGGCUCAACCGUGGGAACCGCGCUUGAGACUGGCAUGCUCGAGUUCGGGGAGAGGAUGGUGGAAUUCCCAGUGUAGAGGUAGAAAUUCGUAGAUAGUUGGGAAGAACACCGGAUGGCGAAGGCAGCCAUCUGGACCGACACUGACGCUGAGGCGCGAAAAGCGUGGGGGAGCAAACAGG